GUGGGGAAUAUUGGACAAUGGGCGCAAGCCUGAUCCAGCCAUGCCGCGUGUGUGAAGAAGGCCUUCGGGUUGUAAAGCACUUUUGUCCGGGAAGAAAUCUUCCAGGUUAAUACCCUGGGAGGCUGACGGUACCGGAAGAAUAAGCACCGGCUAACUUCGUGCCAGCAGCCGCGGUAAUACGAAGGGUGCAAGCGUUACUCGGAAUUACUGGGCGUAAAGCGUGCGUAGGUGGUUCGUUAAGUCUGCCGUGAAAGCCCCGGGCUCAACCUGGGAAUGGCGGUGGAUACUGGCGGGCUAGAGUGCGGUAGAGGGUGGUGGAAUUCCCGGUGUAGCAGUGAAAUGCGUAGAGAUCGGGAGGAACAUCUGUGGCGAAGGCGGCCACCUGGACCAGCACUGACACUGAGGCACGAAAGCGUGGGGAGCAAACAGGAUUAGAUACCCCUGUAGUCC
rnacentral:rRNA from 1 species